rnacentral:rRNA from 1 species
UACGGAGGAUGCGAGCGUUAUCCGGAUUCAUUGGGUUUAAAGGGUGCGUAGGCGGCUUGUUAAGCGUGUGGUGAAACGCCGGGGCUCAACCUCGGAACUGCCUCGCGAACUGGCUGGCUUGAAUGCUCCUGCCGUGGGAGGAAUGUGUGGUGUAGCGGUGAAAUGCAUAGAGAUCACACAGAACACCGAUUGCGAAGGCAUCUCACGAAGGGGUGAUUGACGCUGAGGCACGAAAGCGUGGGGAGCAAAC